rnacentral:rRNA from 1 species
CCUACGGGAGGCAGCAGUGAGGAAUAUUGGUCAAUGGGAGAGAUCCUGAACCAGCCAAGCCGCGUGAGGGAAGACGGCCCUAUGGGUUGUAAACCUCUUUUGUCGGAGAACAAAACCCGGGACGUGUCCCGGACUGCGUGUAUCCGAAGAAAAAGCAUCGGCUAACUCCGUGCCAGCAGCCGCGGUAAUACGGAGGAUGCGAGCGUUAUCCGGAUGUAUUGGGUUUAAAGGGGGCGUAGGCGGUCCGUUAAGUCAGCGGUAAAAUGGCGGGGCCCAACCCCGUCGAGCCGUUGAAACUGGCAGACUUGAGUUGGCGAGAAGUACGCGGAAUGCGCGGUGUAGCGGUGAAAUGCAUAGAUAUCGCGCAGAACUCCGAUUGCGAAGGCAGCGUACCGGCGCCAGACUGACGCUGAGGCACGAAAGCGUGGGGAUCGAACAGGAUUAGAUACCCCUGUAGUC